rnacentral:rRNA from 1 species
UGAGCAAUCUGCCCUUCACAUCGGAAUAACCAUUGGAAACGAUGGCUAAUACCGAAUAUGACUUCGGAUCGCAUGAUCUGAAGUGGAAAGCUCCGGCGGUGAAGGAUGAGCUCGCGGCCUAUCAGCUCGUUGGUGAGGUAAUAGCUCACCGAAGCGAGUGCGGUCGCGCGNGNGAGGUCGACCGCCACGA